rnacentral:tRNA from 1 species
GCCAUGUUAGUUUAUUAAUAAAAUUUUGAUUUGUGAUAUCAAAGAAUUGCUUGGUA